UACGUAGGGAGCUAGCGUUGUUCGGAAUUACUGGGCGUAAAGCGCACGUAGGCGGCUUUGUAAGUUAGAGGUGAAAGCCUGGAGCUCAACUCCAGAACUGCCUUCAAGACUGCAUCGCUCGAAUACAGGAGAGGUGAGUGGAAUUCCGAGUGUAGAGGUGAAAUGCGUAGAUAUUGGGAAGAACACCAGUGGCGAAGGCGGUUCACUGGACUGGUAUUGACGCUGAGGUUCGAAAGCGUGGGGAGCAAACAG
rnacentral:rRNA from 1 species